rnacentral:piRNA from 1 species
UAUCAAGCUAAAUCCUCUACGCUGAUGAGC